UAUAUAUAUUGGACCACAUAUUUUCUAUUGGUUGCACACUUAGUUAAUAUUUGUCUGAAUUGUACUUACACUUGUUUUCUCUGUUUGAGGAGCUGCUUGGGAUAAAGGAUGGCUGAAGGGGCUGGCAGCCAUUUUAUAACUUUGGAGGCCUACCAAGUUGAAAUGGACUGAGGGGGGAACUUCAGUUUAAUUUUGGUUAAUUUAGAUAUUUAAUUUGCUUUACCUCACUUUUGUAAUCACUUUUGAGUUUGUUUUAAGUUAAAGUUAUUUUGUUUUAUUUUGGGUUUUUACCUUUGUUAAAUUGGUAGUUUUGUUUCUUUUUGUUUGAUAUCUCCCCUCUUGAGUUAAGGUUUGGUUACUCCACCCCUUUUUAAGCAGCUUCUGUUAAUUAUCAUGAGUUCAGUUUUUCUUGAGUUUCUGUAUUGUUCA